CCUACGGGAGGCAGCAGUGGGGGAUAUUGCACAAUGGGGGAAACCCUGAUGCAGCGACGCCGCGUGGGUGAAGAAGUAUUUCGGUAUGUAAAGCCCUAUCAGCAGGGAAGAAAGAAGACGGUACCUGACUAAGAAGCCCCGGCUAACUACGUGCCAGCAGCCGCGGUAAUACGUAGGGGGCGAGCGUUAUCUGGAUUCACUGGGUGUAAAGGGAGCGUAGACGGCCGUGCAAGCCAGGAGUGAAAGCCCGGGGCCCAACCCCGGGACUGCUCUUGGAACUGUGCGGCUGGAGUGCGGGAGGGGCAGGCGGAAUUCCUGGUGUAGCGGUGAAAUGCGUAGAUAUCAGGAGGAACACCGGCGGCGAAGGCGGCCUGCUGGACCGCGACUGACGUUGAGGCUCGAAAGCGUGGGGAGCGAACAGGAUUAGAUACCCCAGUAGUC
rnacentral:rRNA from 1 species